UAGGAUAGCUCAGUCGGUAGAGCAUGAGACUUAAUCUCAGGGUUGUGGGUUCAAGCCCCACAUUGGGCAAAA